rnacentral:lncRNA from 13 species
GCUUCUGAGCAGGAAAAUAUCCAACGGAGCUGGCAAGAAUCAGGGAAGACUUCAUGGAGGAAGUGGCAUUGGAGCUGGGAUGUAAAGAAUGAAAUGACAGAGAUGGAGAAUUCCAGACAACAAAGUGCGGAGUGCAGCUGGAGCAGUGCAGAGAUAGGCUGGGACUAGCCCAUGGGGAGCCUUGAAUGCCAGAGCCAGUUCUGCACCUGGGGCUGGAGGCAGGGAAGGAGACAGUGCAGAUGGCAAAUCCCCAGCCCCAGAAAACUUCAUCCACCACUCCAUCUGCUUUCCCAAGGCCUGGAGACCCCUUUCCAAAAGGCCCUGAAAAAGUCAGAAAACAAAAAUCCAAAAAAAGUCUCUGGAUGCAAGAAUGAAAUACCAGGUCAUGAAUAUGGUAAGUCAUCUUAUUCAAAUUUUGCUGAUUGAUUGAUUAUAGACUCGCUAAUCUCCUGGAUUUGAAUGUACCCGAAGGAACUUGUGAAUUUUGGUCAAACAGCGUAGGACACCGCCUAACUUAUUUUCUUUAUAGUGACUUUCCCCAAUAAUUUUGGCUUUAAAUUCCACAUGAAUAUUUCAUAAAUAUUCCAUACAUUUAAGAUUUUAACCAUUUUUACAUCGUAUCUACAGUACUUUAGUACCUGACUUGUAUAUUUAUGUGACUAUUGUUAGAAGUGACUAAUUGGGUUUGAUUAGUUUCAUCAUUAAUAUUCUGUCCAUAAUUUAACAUGCUUCAAUAAAAUACCCUAAAGCAGUGUAAUGAUUAGAUUU